CUUUCCUCAAGAAGUUUUCAGUCAAGUUUGACUUCAGUGACAGCAACUUGGGUGCGGCCUUUAUACCGUGUCCCUUUUAGAAAGGUACCAUGGCUGCUUGUCAAAAGUGGAUUGUUCUGGCUGCGGUUAUAGUUGUGUUGACUUUGCUCCAACAAACAGAGGAAGUUAAAGGCUGGAAAAAAUCACUUGACAACAAACUUAACAAGUACAUUAAAAGAAUCUCUGCCAUUGAGGACUGCAAACUUGUAGAUUGCAAGAAAGGAAAAGCAAUUCCUGAAGUUUCAAAACGCGCAAAAACGUUGUAUCAACUGGAAAAGAAAAUAAAAAAACUGGAACAAUGGGUUGAUACUGUCGAGAAGUGCAU